rnacentral:rRNA from 1 species
ACUCCUACGGGAGGCAGCAGUGGGGAAUUUUGGACAAUGGGCGAAAGCCUGAUCCAGCAAUGCCGCGUGAGUGAAGAAGGCCUUCGGGUUGUAAAGCUCUUUUGUCAGGGAAGAAACGGUGAAAGCUAAUAUCUUUUGCUAAUGACGGUACCUGAAGAAUAAGCACCGGCUAACUACGUGCCAGCAGCCGCGGUAAUACGUAGGGUGCAAGCGUUAAUCGGAAUUACUGGGCGUAAAGCGUGCGCAGGCGGUUUUGUAAGUCUGAUGUGAAAUCCCCGGGCUCAACCUGGGAAUUGCAUUGGAGACUGCAAGGCUAGAAUCUGGCGGAGGGGGGUAGAAUUCCACGUGUAGCAGUGAAAUGCGUAGAUAUGUGGAGGAACACCGAUGGCGAAGGCAGCCCCCUGGGUCAAGAUUGACGCUCAUGCACGAAAGCGUGGGGAGCAAACAGGAUUAGAAACCCCAGUAGUCCCAUGAU